GUUUUUCUAGAUACACAUUCUUUAAUUCAGACAGGAAUGUGGUAUGGGGAGAAUGCUAAAGGAAUUUGAGAGAACAUUUCAGUGCCACUGAUUUGUAUGUGACACCAAGACGCCUCUUAGUGGUCAGGAGCUGGAAAUGCAGCUUAUGUAAUGCCCAUCAUCUUUAUUCUUUUCAGUUUUUUUCUCCGUUGCCCAGGCUUGGAGUGCAGUGGCGUGAUCUCGGUUCACUGUAACCUCCACCUCUUGGGUUCAAGCGAUUCUUCUGCCUCAGCCUCCCGAGUAGCUGGGAUUACAGUGCCUGCCACCAUGCCCGGCUAGUUUUUGUAUUUCUAGUAGAGAUGGGGUUUCACCAUGUUGGCCAAGCUGGUCUCAAACUCCUGACCUCAACCGAUCCACCUGCCUCGGCCUCCGAAAGUGCUGGGAUUACAGGCAUAAGCCACCGCACCCAGCGUUCAGUUUCUUUAAUGGUGUUUCUUUCCUGUGUUGUGGUACAUCAUAGGUGGCAAUACCUGCUUUUUACUCUAUUGCAUAAAGAAGCUGUAUUCUACUCCUUAUCACCCCUACCUCUGUCCUGCUUAACUUCCACCACGUUGACAUAAUCAAGUAUCUGUAGUGUCGCUACUGAACUCAGCCUUUUCCAUUUGUCAGCUGAUGGUAGGAAUUAGAGAAAGCUGGGCAGUACUUUGAAGAAAUAAAAACCAGAGCAUAAUAAUGACGAAUUAAGGCAAAAAUGAAUAGUCACUUUAUUUUGAAGGGUGGGCAGAUUAGAUAUUUUUAAAAUUAUAAAUUCCCCAAUUCUCUUAUGGCUGAAUAAUAUUUCCUGUUCAUCAUAGGUUGGAUGAAUUCAUUCCUAACUUUUUCUUCUCCUGGCUUGUGGGGUCCCAGGCCCCAUCACAGGUAUAUGGAGGAGUGACCUACUAUAACCCCGCCCAGCAGCAGGUGCAGCCAAAGCCCUCCCCACCCCGGAGGACUCCCCAGCCAGUCACCAUCAAGCCCCCUCCACCUGAGGUUGUAAGCAGGGGUUCCAGUUAAUACGAGUUUCUGAAUAUUUUAAAUCUUAACAUCAUAUAAAAAGCAGCAGAGGUGAGAACUCAGAAGAGAAAUACAGCUGGCUAUCUACUACCAGAAGGGCUUCAAAGAUAUAGGGUGUGGCUCCUACCAGCAAACAGCUGAAAGAGGAGGACCCCUGCCUUCCUCUGAGGACAGGCUCUAGAGAGAGGGAGAAACAAGUGGACCUCGUCCCAUCUUCACUCUUCACUUGAGUUGGCUGUGUUCGGGGGAGCAGAGAGAGCCAGACAGCCCCAAGCUUCUGAGUCUAGAUACAGAAGCCCAUGUCUUCUGCUGUUCUUCACUUCUGGGAAAUUGAAGUGUCUUCUGUUCCCAAGGAAGCUCCUUCCUGUUUGUUUUGUUUUCUAAGAUGUUCAUUUUUAAAGCCUGGCUUCUUAUCCUUAAUAUUAUUUUAAUUUUUUCUCUUUGUUUCUGUUUCUUGCUCUCUCUCCCUGCCUUUAAAUGAAACAAGUCUAGUCUUCUGGUUUUCUAGCCCCUCUGGAUUCCCUUUUGACUCUUCUGUGCAUCCCAGAUAAUGGAGAAUGUAUCAGCCAGCCUUCCCCACCAAGUCUAAAAAGACCUGGCCUUUCACUUUUAGUUGGCAUUUGUUAUCCUCUUGUAUACUUGUAUUCCCUUAACUCUAACCCUGUGGAAGCAUGGCUGUCUGCACAGAGGGUCCCAUUGUGCAGAAAAGCUCAGAGUAGGUGGGUAGGAGCCCUUCUCUUUGACUUAGGUUUUUAGGAGUCUGAGCAUCCAUCAAUACCUGUACUAUGAUGGGCUUCUGUUCUCUGCUGAGGGCAAAUACCCUACUGUGGGGAGAGAUGGUACACCAGAUACUUUUGUGAGAAAGGGAUGGUGGAGUGAGAGCCUUUGCCUUUAGGGGUGUGUAUUCACAUAGUCCUCAGGGCUCAGUCUUUUGAGGUAAGUGGAAUUAGAGGGCCUUGCUUCUCUUCUUUCCAUUCUUCUUGCUACACCCCUUUUCCAGUUGCUGUGGACCAAUGCAUCUCUUUAAAGGCAAAUAUUAUCCAGCAAGCAGUCUACCCUGUCCUUUGCAAUUGCUCUUCUCCACGUCUUUCCUGCUACAAGUGUUUUAGAUGUUACUACCUUAUUUUCCCCGAAUUCUAUUUUUGUCCUUGCAGACAGAAUAUAAAAACUCCUGGGCUUAAGGCCUAAGGAAGCCAGUCACCUUCUGGGCAAGGGCUCCUAUCUUUCCUCCCUAUCCAUGGCACUAAACCACUUCUCUGCUGCCUCUGUGGAAGAGAUUCCUAUUACUGCAGUACAUACGUCUGCCAGGGGUAACCUGGCCACUGUCCCUGUCCUUCUACAGAACCUGAGGGCAAAGAUGGUGGCUGUGUCUCUCCCCGGUAAUGUCACUGUUUUUAUUCCUUCCAUCUAGCAGCUGGCCUAAUCACUCUGAGUCACAGGUGUGGGAUGGAGAGUGGGGAGAGGCACUUAAUCUAUAACCCCCAAGGAGGAAAUAACUAAGAGAUUCUUCUAGGGGUAGCUGGUGGUUGUGCCUUUUGUAGGCUGUUCCCUUUGCCUUAAACCUGAAGAUGUCUCCUCAAGCCUGUGGGCAGCAUGCCCAGAUUCCCAGACCUUAAGACACUGUGAGAGUUGUCUCUGUUGGUCCACUGUGUUUAGUUGCAAGGAUUUUUCCAUGUGUGGUGGUGUUUUUUGUUACUGUUUUAAAGGGUGCCCAUUUGUGAUCAGCAUUGUGACUUGGAGAUAAUAAAAUUUAGACUAU
rnacentral:sRNA from 1 species